rnacentral:rRNA from 1 species
AGCGAACGCUGGCGGAAUGCUUAACACAUGCAAGUCGCACGCCCUGGCAACAGGGAGUGGCGGACGGGUGAGUAACGCGUAGGAAUAUAUCCGAAGGUGGGGACAACCCUGGGAAACUGGGGCUAAUACCGCAUGGGGGCUGAGGCCCAAAGCCGUGAGGCGCCUUUUGGAGUAGCCUGCGUCCGAUUAGGUAGUUGGUGGGGUAAAGGCCUACCAAGCCUGCGAUCGGUAGCUGGUCGAGAGGACGA